AAAUAGAUAGGUCAUGGAGGACAUACGCGAAAGGGGUAAAAAAAUAAUUAACAGAAGAUAAAACGGAGGUAAAGGAAGAGACCGACAGAUUUGAGUGCAAGGUUCAAGGGGCCGGAUUGGAGCUCGGCCCAUCUGAGAGCGGGCAUAUUGACGGUGAAAUCCAAGCCUUCCGUGGAGAAUCGAGCGGCUCUCGGCACCUCCCGGUGGAGCUGCAGCACCCGUCGGAAUCCUACCGUCCCUCGC
rnacentral:lncRNA from 1 species